CACAUACUCCCUCCGUCCGGAAAUACUUAUCGGAGGAAUGGAUGUAUCUAGAUGCAUUUUAGUUCUAGAUACAUCCAUUUUUACUCAUUUUUGCGACAAGUAAUUCCGGACGGAGGGAGUAUCUA
rnacentral:pre_miRNA from 1 species